CAGUUUCGAUUUGCUGGGGACAAAUAAAGUGAAUGUGGGUAUCAAUGGCCCCGGCUGUGACAAUUCUGCCUUCUCCCGCUAUCACUUCGGUGCCUGGGCCAAUGAUGAUAUCUACGCCGUCUUGGGUGUAGGGAUUGCCGGCUUUGCCAAUUUUGAAUAUUUUGCCGUUUCUAAUGCCAAUAUCGGCUUUGACGAUGCCCCACCAAUCAAGAAUCAAGGCGUUGGUAAUGACUACAUCUACGGCUUGGUUGACACCAUCGCCAAUCUUGGGAGAAUUCCCUAAGAUAUCGGUGCCAUUGAUUAAGGGAGACUGUCCCAUCCCAUCCCG
rnacentral:sRNA from 1 species